rnacentral:rRNA from 1 species
UGGGGAAUAUUGGACAAUGGGCGAAAGCCUGAUCCAGCCAUGCCGCGUGUGUGAAGAAGGUCUUCGGAUUGUAAAGCACUUUAAGUUGGGAGGAAGGGCAGUAAGCGAAUACCUUGCUGUUUUGACGUUACCGACAGAAUAAGCACCGGCUAACUCUGUGCCAGCAGCCGCGGUAAUACAGAGGGUGCAAGCGUUAAUCGGAAUUACUGGGCGUAAAGCGCGCGUAGGUGGUUCGUUAAGUUGAAUGUGAAAGCCCCGGGCUCAACCUGGGAACUGCAUCCAAAACUGGCGAGCUAGAGUAGGGAAGAGGGUGGUGGAAUUUCCUGUGUAGCGGUGAAAUGCGUAGAUAUAGGAAGGAACACCAGUGGCGAAGGCGACCACCUGGGCUCAUACUGACACUGAGGUGCGAAAGCGUGGGGAGCAAACAGG